rnacentral:rRNA from 1 species
CUACGGGUCGCACCAGUGGGGAAUAUUGGACAAUGGGGGAAACCCUGAUCCAGCAAUGCCGCGUGUGUGAAGAAGGCCUGCGGGUUGUAAAGCACUUUCGGUUGGGAGGACUGCUUCUAGCACUAAUAUUGUUGGAAGUUGACGUUACCUUCAGAAGAAGCACCGGCUAACUCCGUGCCAGCAGCCGCGGUAAUACGGAGGGUGCAAGCGUUAAUCGGAAUUACUGGGCGUAAAGCGCGCGUAGGCGGCUAGAUCAGUCGGGUGUGAAAGCCCCGGGCUUAACCUGGGAACUGCAUCCGAUACUGUCUAGCUUGAGUACAGGAGAGGAGAGUGGAAUUCCACAUGUAGCGGUGAAAUGCAUAGAUAUGUGGAGGAACACCAGUGGCGAAGGCAGCUCUCUGGCCUGAUACUGACGCCGAGGUGCGAAAGCGUGGGGAGCAAACAGGAUUAGAUACCCUUGUAGUC